rnacentral:rRNA from 1 species
UACGAAGGGGGCUAGCGUUGUUCGGAAUUACUGGGCGUAAAGCGCGCGCAGGUGGUCUUUCAAGUCAGUGGUGAAAGCCCGGAGCUCAACUCCGGAAAUGCCAUUGAAACUGUAAGACUUGAGGAUGAGAGAGGUGAGUGGAAUUCCCAGUGUAGAGGUGAAAUUUGUAGAUAUUGGGAAGAACACCGGUGGCGAAGGCGGCUCACUGGCUCAUAUCUGACGCUCAGGCGCGACAGCGUGGGGAUCAAACAGG